CUGUUUACACGUUUUGUAAAGGUGUUAAAACCCCCUAAUCUAACAAUGCCUGUGGCUCUUCACACCGCAGGGCAUUCACCUUACUUGUGCCACUGAGAGGCGUGGACGGCGGGGUAAAACAAACCCCCCGCACCAGCGCCAGGGCACCCCGCCCGGGAAGACACUCACAGGCGCUGCGCAGCCUUACAGGAGCAACCGUUGUUCGCUAGUACCGCGACGACCCUGGAUCCUUGCGCCCUGAGUCCCAGGCUGAAUCGAGUCCCGGCCGCAGGAGGCGGGGCUAAGGCGGCAGGACUCAGGCGCCUGCGCCCGGCCAUGGAGGGGGAGCUCGGAGCUUGGAGUGAAAAUGUAUUGGAUUAUUUUCUGAACACUAACCAGAUUAAAACCAGAGAUGGAGCAGAAAUUAUCUGGUAUCAUGCAGCAAACAAUAAAUUACAAAUGAAAGAGGCAAUACAGAGUGCUGCUCAUAUGAUAGAAGCAGAUGUUCUUCUCUGUGGUGAGGAAGAAGGAAAUGGUGAACCAAUCAUGGCUCAUCCUCCUGAAACUAACAGUGACAACACAUUGCAGGCAUGGCUAAAUGAGAUUGUGAACACUAAAAAAGGCAUCAAACUGGAUUUUAAGAGUCUAGCAGCGGUGAAGCCCUCUAUGAUGCUUCUUGAAGGCAUAAAGUUGCAUCUGAGGCGACUUGUCUGGAUUAAUGCAGACAUUCUCCCUGGACCUAAUGGAACUAACGCUGUCGUGGAUGCAAAAAGAUUUCUAGACACUGUAACUUCAUUUUGCCCGGAUGUGACCUUAUCGUUGGGCUGGACAACUGGGUGGCAGCCUCAACAAUGCAAUAAAGGAUACAGUUGGGCAAUGGUGAAAGAGAUGGCUCAAAUUUGUGACGCACUUACUCAGCCUGUAACGUUUCCUGUUAGAGCAGCUUUGGUACGACAGUCAAAAUCUGAGUUGCUUUGGUUAUUACAGAAGUCAAACAGGUACAGUCUGACUGUUUGGACAGGAAGGCAUGACAAGUACUCCAUAGAAGACCUGCUGUACCUCAGAGAGAACUUUGAUAAAACACCCAACAGAUGAUGAUCUGGCUGCAACAGUAGUUCUUCCAGCAGCAGAAGAAGGAAGAUGAGAAAGACGCUGAGCUACUACAAGAGCCGUUCCUGGAGCAGCUUCACAUGGCACAUCGCCAUUUCUGUGUUCAGGAAACCAGUGUUGAUUGGUGGAAAAGGAUUGUUCUGCAGACAUGGAUGACCAGCAGUGGUAAGGGAAUUUAAGGAGGGCAAAGGUGACCUUUUUUGAGAUCUGUGUUCAGUUCAUCCUGAGCAUGCAGUGCCGAUACUCAUCAAGAAUCAGGUCGCCGCUGCCAUCUGGUAGUUGCCCACCCUUUAUUGUUACUGGUCCAUAGCCAACCAAUUUGGAGUAGGGAGACUGACUGCUGGAGCCACUGUCAUGUUUCAUUUUUUGAACUUUCAGCAGCAGAUGGAGCCAGCAAGGGAGCAAGUGGGUGGAGAGAAAGAUCCUAUCUUUUACUGAAUUUUAACCCUCCAUCCAAACUCAGGAAGCAACUAUGGGCUCUGACUGCUUCAAUUAGCAGGUUGGAGUACAAACAACAUGGAUGUAUCUGCUUUGCUUGCUUCUACCCUACCCCUUCAUGAUUCCAGUCACCAGGAGCAUAUCCACCUUUGCAAUCCUGACUCUAGGAAAAUCGCUUAAUUGGAGCUGGAAACUUUUUAUAUCCAUGUAUUGACAUGGUUCAACAGAGGAGUGUGAUUUUUGUUUUCUGUUUGAGGCACUCUCCCUACUAGUCAUUUUUCCAAUCUUCUCCCCACCGUCCUUUUUAAUCUCCCUCCCUUGCUCCCUUUUGUUUCAUCCCUAUCUAAUUUCCUAGAUUUGAGGGUUAUAGUAAAUCUGGAAAUAUUCAAUUCAUUUGCCCUAAAGGUACACUUAUAGACUCAUAGACAUUAAGAUCAGAAGAGACCAUCGUGAUACUCUAAUACGACCUGCAGAUUGCAGACCACAGAACUGCACCCAUUCCUGAAAUAGUCUCCUAACCUCUGGGGAACCCUGGCUGGAGGGCUGAGUCAUGAAGAAGACAUUACAGUUCCUGGAGUGAGAAAGGGGCUGCAGAAGAGAAAAUGAUGGAAAGUAGCUGAUGGAAGGGGUGUUGGCGUGACCGAGCUAACCUGCAAAAUCACCAGGAGGCAGUGCGUCCAGUGGUGAGUAGAGCAAUCCCAUCACACUGAUUUACAUUGCUGAUGUAACUAUUGGGCAAUGACAUUCACACUAUAAGACAGCAUGGACAAGGCGCUAGGAGGCAAAGUUGAGGCAGAACUGUUCUGCUAAUGAACCCUUAUCUGCAAAUGAUUUAUUUAUGUUGGAAUAAGAAUAUUUAAACAAUUUGUGUAAUUUAGAAUCAUAGAACAUCAGGGUUG